rnacentral:rRNA from 1 species
UACGGGGGGGGCAAGCGUUGUUCGGAAUUACUGGGCGUAAAGGGCUCGUAGGCGGCCAACUAAGUCCGAUGUGAAAUCCCCAGGCUUAACCUGGGAACUGCGUCGGAUACUGGAUGGCUUGAAUUCGGGAGAGGGAUGCAGAAUUCCAGGUGUAGCGGUGAAAUGCGUAGAUAUCUGGAGGAAUACCGGUGGCGAAGGCGGCAUCCUGGACCGACAUUGACGCUGAUGAGCGAAAGCUAGGGGAGCAAACAGG